rnacentral:rRNA from 1 species
GACGAACUGUCCUAACGUUGUUCGGAAUCACUGGGCUUAAAGGGCGCGUAGGCGGUCCGACAAGUCAGGGGUGAAAUCCUGCAGCUUAACUGCAGAAGUGCCUUUGAUACUGUCGGUCUGGAGGGAGAUAGGGGUGUGCGGAACUUCCAGUGGAGCGGUGAAAUGCGUUGAUAUCGGAAGGAACUCCGGCGGCGAAAGCGAUGCACUGGCUGGUUUCUGACGCUGAGGUGCGAAAGCCAGGGGAGCAAACGGG